rnacentral:tRNA from 1 species
GCCGAAGUAGCUCAGUUGGUAGAGCAGCUGAUUUGUAAUCAGCAGGUCGGGGGUUCGAAUCCCUUCUUCGGCU